AUACGUAGGGGGGCGAGCGUUGUCCGGAAUGAUUGGGCGUAAAGGGCGCGUAGGCGGCCCGGUAAGUCUGGAGUGAAAGUCCUGGUUUUAAGAUGGGAAUUGCUUUGGAUACUGUCGGGCUUGAGUGCAGGAGAGGUAAGUGGAAUUCCCAGUGUAGCGGUGAAAUGCGUAGAGAUUGGGAGGAACACCAGUGGCGAAGGCGACUUACUGGACUGUAACUGACGCUGAGGCGCGAAAGUGUGGGGAGCAAACAGGAUUAGAUACCCUGGAAGUCCACACUGUAAACGAUGAAUGCUAGGUGUAGGGGGUAUCGACCCCUUCUGUGCCGCAGUCAACACAAUAAGCAUUCCGCCUGGGGAGUACGGCCGCAAGGUUGAAACUCAAAGGAAUUGACGGGG
rnacentral:rRNA from 1 species